CACAUGCAAGUCGAGGGGCAGCAGGAACAAAGCUUGCUUUGUUUGCUGGCGACCGGCGCACGGGUGAGUAACGCGUGUCCGACCUACCCAUAACACGGGCACAGCCGCUCGAAAGAGUGAUUGAUUCCCGAUAUGUCUUGUGAGUAGAUUGCAAGAUGAAAGAUUUAUCGGUAACGGAUAGGGAUGCGUGACAUUAGAUAGUAGGCGGGGUAACGGCCCACCUAGUCUACGAUGUCUAGGGGUUCUGAGAGGAAGGUCCCCCACACUGGAACUGAGACACGGUCCAGACUCCUACGGGAGGCAGCAGUGAGGAAUAUUGGUCAAUGGUCGGAAGACUGAACCAGCCAAGUAGCGUGAAGGAUGAAGGUUCUAUGGAUUGUAAACUUCUUUUAUACGGGAAUAAAGCCCGCUACGUGUAGCGGUUUGUAUGUACCGUAUGAAUAAGCAUCGGCUAACUCCGUGCCAGCAGCCGAGGUAAUACGGAGGAUGCGAGCGUUAUCCGGAUUUAUUGGGUUUAAAGGGAGCGUAGACGGGAGAUUAAGUCAGCUGUGAAAGUUUGGGGCUCAACCUUAAAAUUGCAGUUGAUACUGGUUUCCUUGAGUGCGGUUGAGGUGUGUGGAAUUCGUGGUGUAGCGGUGAAAUGCUUAGA
rnacentral:rRNA from 1 species